GAGGACGGCUCGGCGUUGGGGGACGGCACACUCCCCCCGGCUUGCCGGGGACGCCGCCCCCGAAAUUCAGUGGCGGCCCUCGGAGGCGACCUCUGCGUAGUAACUCAACCUCGCAAAGGAAAGCUCCGAGCGGCCACGCCGUGAAACCCCAACUCUUCAAGGUUGACCUCGAAUCAGGUAGGACUACCCGCUGAACUUAA
rnacentral:misc_RNA from 1 species